rnacentral:snRNA from 1 species
UGUUACUCGCUUCGGCAGUAUACUAAAAUUGGAACGAUACAGAGAAGAUUAGCAUGGCCCCUGCGCAAGGAUGACACGCAAAAUCGUGAACAAGGAGGUUUCUAA